GAUGAACGCUGGCGGUACGUCUGACACAUGCAAGUCGAACGGUAAGCCACCUUCGGGUGGCCUAGAGUGGCGAACGGCUGAGUAACACGUAGGAACCUACCCCUCAGUUCGGGAUAACGGGACGAAAGCCCCGCUAACACCGGAUAAUAUCGAAAGAUUGAAAGGUUACGCUGAGGGAGGGCCUGCGGGCUAUUAGCUUGUUGGUGGGGUAAUGGCUCACCAAGGCGAUGAUGGCUAGCNGGUCUGAGAGGAUGAUCAGCCAGACUGGGACUGAGACACGGCCCAGACUCCUACGGGAGGCAGCAGUUCAGAAUCUUGCACAAUGGGCGAAAGCCUGAUGCAGCGAUACCGCGUGGGUGAAGAAGGCCUU
rnacentral:rRNA from 1 species